AUUGAACGCUGGCGGCAGGCCUAACACAUGCAAGUCGAGCGAGCGGCGGACGGGUGAGUAAUGUAUGGGGACUGCCCGAUAGAGGGGGAUAACUACUGGAAACGGUAGCUAAUACCGCAUACUAUCGGAUAACCCAUAUUGGAUUAGCUAGUAGGUGAGGUAAUGGCUCACCUAGGCGACGAUCCCUAGCUGGUCUGAGAGGAUGAUCAGCCAAUGGAGAACUGAGAACGGGCGAGGACCCCUAGGGAGGCAGCGUUGGGGAAUGUUGAAAAAUGGGCGCAGGCCUGAUGCAGCAAUGCCGGGUGUAUGAAGAAGGCCCUAGGGUUGUAAAGUACUUUCAGUCGGGAGGCGUUACCGACAGAAGAAGCACCGGCUAACUCCGUGCCAGCAGCCGCGGUAAUU
rnacentral:rRNA from 1 species